AAUCAACGCUGGCGGCGUGCCUCAGACAUGCAAGUCGAACGAUUAAAGCUCUCUUCGGAGAGUGUAUAGAGUGGCGCACGGGUGAGUAACACGUAAGUAAUCUACCCUCGAGUGGGGAAUAACAACCGGAAACGGUUGCUAAUACCGCAUAAUGCAGCGGCACCGCAAGGUGACAGUUGUUAAAGAUUUAUCGCUUGAGGAGGAGCUUGCGGCAGAUUAGCUAGUUGGUAGGGUAACGGCUUACCAAGGCUACGAUCUGUAACCGGUCUAAGAGGACGGUCGGUCACACUGACACUGAAUAACGGGUCAGACUCCUACGGGAGGCAGCAGUCGGGAAUUUUGGGCGAAUGGGCGAAAGACCUGACCCAGCAACGCCGCGUGAAGGAUGAAGUAUUUCGGUAUGUAAACUU
rnacentral:rRNA from 1 species